UGGCGGUAUGCUUACACAUGCAAGUCGAACGGAGUAGUAUACUUAGUGGCGGACGGGUGAGUAACGCGUAAGAAUCUAGCUUCAGGUUCGGGACAACAGUUGGAAACGACUGCUAAUACCGGAUGUGCCUACGGGUGAAAGGCUUGCUGCCUGAAGAAGAGCUUGCGUCCGAUUAGCUAGUUGGUAGGGUAAGAGCUUACCAAGGCAUUGAUCGGUAGCUGGUCUGAGAGGAUGACCAGCCACACUGGGACUGAGACAAGGCCCAGACUCCUACGGGAGGCAGCAGUGGGGAAUUUUCCGCAAUGGGCGAAAGCCUGACGGAGCAAUACCGCGUGAGGGAAGAAGGCUCUUGGGUUGUAAACCUCUUUUCUUAGGGAAUAAAAAAAUGAAGGUACCUAAGGAAUAAGCAUCGGCUAACUCCGUGCCAGCAGCCGCGGUAAUACGGAGGAUGCAAGCGUUAUCCGGAAUGAUUGGGCGUAAAGCGUCCGCAGGUGGUACAACAAGUCUAGUGUCAAAGUCCGGGGCUCAACCCCGGGAAGGCGGUAGAAACUGUUGAACUAGAGGGUCGUAGGGGUAGAGGGAAUUCCCAGUGUAGCGGUGAAAUGCGUAGAGAUUGGG
rnacentral:rRNA from 1 species